rnacentral:rRNA from 1 species
AUUGAACGCUGGCGGCAGGCUUAACACAUGCAAGUCGAACGGUAACAUAAAGGAGCUUGCUUCUUUGAUGACGAGUGGCGGACGGGUGAGUAAUGCUUGGGAAUCUAGCUUAUGGAGGGGGAUAACUACGGGAAACUGUAGCUAAUACCGCGUAGAAUCGGGAGAUGAAAGUGUGGGACCUUCGGGCCACAUGCCAUAGGAUGAGCCCAAGUGGGAUUAGGUAGUUGGUGAGGUAAAGGCUCACCAAGCCGACGAUCUCUAGCUGGUCUGAGAGGAUGACCAGCCACACUGGGACUGAGACACGGCCCAGACUCCUACGGGAGGCAGCAGUGGGGAAUAUUGCGCAAUGGGGGCAACCCUGACGCAGCCAUGCCGCGUGAAUGAAGAAGGCCUUCGGGUCGUAAAGUUCUUUCGGUAGCGAGGAAGGCAUUUAGUUUAAUAGACUAGGUGAUUGACGUUAACUACAGAAGAAGCACCGGCUAACUCCGUG